GAUGCCUGUUAAAUUAUUUUCUUUGUGAUAGUUUUAUAAACUCUGCCUUUUUAUUUCUGUUCAAUUGUAUGUGGCGCCCCUGCUCAUGUGAGUCGAGAACGACCUCUCGAGGCAAGUAAAUCACAUUGGCAAGGUAUAACUCCUGAUCUGUAAGUCUGUAACAUGAAGUUUCGAGGAAAUGCAUGUCUCUCUUACAUUUUAAUUACUUCGCAAUCUAAAACUUGAGGCUGUUCUCUUCUUAGCAUUCAUGCUAGCAUCUCUUCAAGAUUAUCUUUGAAGGGACUAUUUUUUUUAAGUUUCUACACUACUAUAACAUGUUCAUAUAAAUGAAGCAGUGUCUUUCCUCUCGUCUUUAUCAGCUAUAUGUAGAAAGACAAACUAG
rnacentral:lncRNA from 1 species